GUUUGAUGAAAUGAUGAUAUACUGUUUUGUUUAUAUGAAUUAUUUGGUUACUUAAAAUGUUAUCUUUGCAUUGGAGGUGUGGAUGCUUUCAACUGUUGUCAUUGAAGCUGAUUAGUGGUUUGCUGGUUUAUAUGGGGAAAAUGAAGACCUACCCUUUGAGUGAUGCAAUCAAUUACUCAAGUGUGAAUGGUACUGUAUUUGCUGUACAGGUGGCUGGUCAAUAAUAUCCGUUGCCUCAUUUUGUUUUAUUGAUGUACAUUUUCAUACUAGUUGUUGCAGACAAUAAAA
rnacentral:misc_RNA from 1 species